rnacentral:lncRNA from 1 species
GUAUUAAAGCUUAGGUUAUUUUUUUCGGGCGCCGCAACUCGUCCUCCCGAUUCAAUCUUCUAUUCCGCCGCCGCUGCCUUCUCUCGCUGGCCAUUGCUAUCUUCACCGAUCGCGCCCUCACCUGCCCGCUCGCUAGCUCCAGAUCUUGCGGAGGGAGGCAAGAGGCUUCUUCCUCCUGCUCCCGCCGGAUCCCGCUGCAGUCCCUGCCAUCAGUCUUCAGGAUCCCGCCGCAGGCCCGCUCUCUCCUGGAUCCAGCCGCUCCAGGUCGCGCCGCCCCAUCUCCCGCCGCUCCACGCUGCCGGAUUUGCAGAGCGCCGCCGUCGAUUCAUCUGCCGCAGCUCUGAUCUAGUUGCUGCUCGUUCCAAUUUGGCUGACACUAUCUCCUUCACGCCCUUCUAGUGCUUGCCAGCUGCUCCACGCGUGGCUCUCCCUACUUGCUGCUGAUCAUGUUGAUUGGGUCUGCGUGCUGCUGUUUUGCUGUUUGGGCUGCCGCUCAUCCGUGCAACUCUCCUGCUCCUAUCUUGUGUUGCUUGCCUACAUGCUUGCUGCUUCGUGUGUUAGCUCUUUCUCGUAGCUACUUCCGCUGCCAGCAUCCCUAGUCUAGUUUUUUUUUGGGUUUUCCGCUGCGUCCACCAAAUCCGUUGAUAUUUUGUGUUUUCUCAUGCCAUGCGAGUCCACCAUACCUUAGUCCGUCGGCCUUUUCUUUGGUCCUGAUCCUUUCUAUGCAACUUUUGUGGCCUAUUUGCCCUUGUUAUUUCCUAUAGGAUUUUUUGGACUUCUUUUGCAUUGUCGAUCUACGUCCAUCGUGUCUUAUCCGCCGAGCUUCUUUCGCGGACGGUUGUCGUGGACUAUGAUUUUCCACGCAAUGCUUUAUUCUCUUAAUGUGCCAUCUUCUUUUGACAACCCAUCUUCUCUUGAUACUUAUGUUGUAUCUUCAAGUGAUGCGGUGGCUUCCUCUUGAUGUGCCAUCUUCUUUUGACAACCCAUCUUCUCUUGAUACUUAUGUUGUAUCUUCAAGUGAUGCGGUGUCUUCCUCUUGACGUGCCAUCUUCUUUUGACAACCCAUCUUCUCUUGAUACUUAUCUUGUAUCUUCAAGUGAUGCGGUGUCUACCUCUGAUGUGCCAUCUCUUCGUUAUCUCCUUCGGCGACUCGACAAGUUUUGAAGACUCUUCAUGCUACGACGACACUCUCAAGACGCGGAUUUGGAUUAUCAUUUUUUUUAGUAUUACACUUCUUCAAAUGCAAUGCUAUUGCAUACGCCUUGCAUUUGAGGGGGGGGGGGG